rnacentral:lncRNA from 1 species
GGCAGCCGAUGUUCAACAAUGGAUCGGUCUAAACCGGGCAUCUCGUGAUACUCCCAAGCAAAACAAUCCUUAAAUUCCUUUAAUAAAUUUGUCAAUUUACACUUGUAUUCUGGGUCUAAAUUUGCACUAAUAUAAGUCGGCCUUGGUUUGGUACCAUCACCUAAGUCUAUCAUCUCUAAUGAAUCGGCCGAUGUGAACCCGUGCCCUAACUUCCCAUCUUCUCG